UAGACAGAUCGUUUGGGGAAAAAAGCGUAGCUAAUGAUUUUUCUUGAGCGAAACUUCCGAAGUCUUGAUCUUCAGUUCUCCUGACUUCGUCAAACAAGGAAGUGAUUAUUUCUAGAAACAUUCGUUUUAAAGAUUUGCGUCCAUCGCCUCUGAAUUCUAAACAAAGUUAAAGUUUUCAGAAGUCCCUGGAACAAAGGUAACGCUACUUUGGUAGGAUGCGGUCCUCAUGUAUUCGGACUGCCUUCGUCAUGCUGAUCGGGUUCUGGAUGGGCGAGGCUCAAGAAUGUGGUCGGCCACCAAUGGUGAACAGGAUAGUCGGAGGUUCCGCUGCGUCAGAAGGUGCGUGGCCUUGGCAGGUUGAUGUUAAGGUUGGCAGU